ACGUCAAGUCCUCAUGGCCCUUACGGGCCGGGCUACACACGUGAUACAAUGGUGAUUACAAAGGGCUGCUACAGAGCGAUCUCAAGCAAAUCCUUAAAAGUCAUCUCAGUUCGGAUUGCACUCUGCAACUCGAGUGCAUGAAGUUGGAAUCGCUAGUAAUCGUAGAUCAGCGCGCUACGGCGAAUACGUUCCCGGGUCUU
rnacentral:rRNA from 1 species